GAUGAACGCUGGCGGCGUGCUUAACACAUGCAAGUCGAACGAACCUUCGGGUUAGUGGCGGACGGGUGAGUAACGCGUGAGAAUCUGCCCUCAGGAGGGGGAUAACGGCUGGAAACGGCCGCUAAUACCCCAUAUGCCGCGAGGUGAAAUGAAUUUCGCCUGAGGAUGAGCUCGCGUCUGAUUAGCUAGUUGGUGUAGGUAAUGGCUCACCAAGGCAUCGAUCAGUAGCUGGUCUGAGAGGAUGAUCAGCCACACUGGGACUGAGACACGGCCCAGACUCCUACGGGAGGCAGCAGUGGGGAAUUUUCCGCAAUGGGCGAAAGCCUGACGGAGCAACGCCGCGUGAGGGAUGAAGGCCUCUGGGCUGUAAACCUCUUUUAUCAAGGAAGAAGAUCUGACGGUACUUGAUGAAUAAGCCACGGCUAAUUCCGUG
rnacentral:rRNA from 1 species